GGAGAGGUGGCAGAGCGGUUGAAUGCACCGGUCUUGAAAACCGGCAAGUCGAAAGGCUUCGAGGGUUCGAAUCCCUCCCUCUCCG
rnacentral:tRNA from 1 species